AGUGAACGCUGGCGGUAGGCCUAAUACAUGCAAGUCGAACGAGUGGCGGACUGGUGAGCAAUACAUUGGAAUCUACUCUGCCGUCGGGGAUAACGUAGGUAACCUUACGCUAAUACCGCUUACGACUGAUUGUGCCGAUGUCGGAUUAGCUAGUGGGUGGGGUAAAGGCCCACCAAGGCGACGAUCCGCAGCUGGUCUGAGAGGAUGAUCAGCCACACUGGAACUGAGACACGGUCCAGACUCCUACGGGAGGCAGCAGUGGGGAAUAUUGGACAAUGGGCGAAAGCCUGAUCCAGCCAUACCGCGUGAGUGAAGAAGGCCUUCGGAUGGUAAAGCCCUUUUGUUGGAAAAGCGGUAGCCAAAGAGUAAGCAACGGCUAACUUCGUGCCAGCAGCCGCGGUAAUAC
rnacentral:rRNA from 1 species